GUAUUCUGACUGAUAUUUGAAAAAAAAUGAAAAGUCUGUGUUUUGUUUUUUUUAAUUUUUUGAGACAUCUCUAGAAUCUGAAGUACAUUUUGGAGCUUGAGAGGUACCUGAAAUGCAAUGGGUGUAAGAAGAAUUACUGAGUUCUCAGCAUUUGUCCUGUCUCAGGGAAAAUAUAAGGAAAGAACAGCAAAAAGGAAUAUGACAAAGAUGACAUCUUGGCAAACUCACCAAACUUAUUAUCUACAGUAAAAACCAGGAAUAUCAACCAGGCCAACCUCCUGAACAGAAGAAAAACUAAAUUGUUGAUGCAUGAGAAAACAAAUACAGUGCUUUUAUAUGUACUGUAGUUUGAGUUUUUCUUUAUAGCACUCCCUUAAAACCACUAUUGCACAGUUAUCCUAAUUACAUGGUUGCUGUCUGGCCAGCAGAAGAAGAGUUCAACAAAAUAAGCUUCAGCAAUUCUCUGAAGACUCCAUUGGACUUUGGUGUUAUUUUCUCCAGUUCUGAGCAUAACCUUGGACUGGAAAUUAUGUGAAAACAAAAAUAGAGUCAGUGCUGAAUGCUUUGAAUUUC
rnacentral:lncRNA from 1 species